rnacentral:rRNA from 1 species
UACGUAGGGCGCAAGCGUUGUCCGGAAUUAUUGGGCGUAAAGAGCUCGUAGGCGGUUUGUCGCGUCUGUCGUGAAAGCUUGGGGCUUAACCCCAAGUCUGCGGUGGAUACGGGCAGACUAGAGGCAGGUAGGGGAGAACGGAAUUCCCGGUGUAGCGGUGAAAUGCGCAGAUAUCGGGAGGAACACCGGUGGCGAAGGCGGUUCUCUGGGCCUGUACUGACGCUGAGGAGCGAAAGCGUGGGGAGCAAACAGG